rnacentral:lncRNA from 1 species
AGCACCACAAAGGAGAUUGACAUGUGAGGCCGGCAGUGCAAAUAUCUUUGGUGUACAACUUGGAACGACUGCCUGUCUGACUCAUUGUCUGUUUCUUGGACAUUUAGGUGCAUAUUGUGAUAGCCACAAUGUGUGUCACUGUCGCCACUAACAAGGUGAGUGUAUAGUCCGUUAAUCAUUUCACAGAUUUACUUUAGAAAUAUUUGCGUAAUCUUGACCUUUGUUUUCUUUAUUUAUUGAAUAUUUUUAGUAACUCUUCCUUACAGAGUGAUCUAAUGGAGCAGGAUACUAUAUAACUAUUGUUAUAGCAUUGAUUCUUUCACAAGUUCCACUCCUAAUUUUGCCUGGUCCGUCCGCCCCUUGUUUAUCAAAAUCUUUGAUCCUUAUAUGCCUAAUUUCGUAAAGAUUAUUUUCACUGAUUGAAUUUUAUCAAUACAAAUGUACUGUAUUUAUUCAAGUAGUUAAUAUAUUGUUGUGUGUUUGUUUUUCGACAUUGGCUAGAGGUAUAGGGGGAUAGUUAAGAUAUCAAAAAAAUGUUUACCCUAACGCAUUUUUGCGCCUGUCCCAAGUCAGAAGCCUCUGGGUUUUGUUAGUCGUGUAUGAUUUUAAGUUUCGUUUCUUGUGUAUAUUUCGGAGUUUAGUAUGGCGUCCAUAUCACUGAACUAGUACCCAUUAUUGUUUAGGGGCCAAAAAUACGCCUAAGGGGUGGGAGUUUCGAGCUGUAUUGAAAAACCAUUCGUGACCUUCGGCUGUUGUUUGCUCUAUGGUCAGGUAGUUGUCUCUUUGACACAUUUUGCAUUUCCAUUCUUAAUUUCAUUGUCCCAUUUUCUUAUUGUCCAACACUGUUCUUAUUUUUUUCAUAAUAGGAAAAGAUGGCAGCAUAUAUAUAUACAACUUUUGUUGCAAUAUCGUAUGAAUAAGACCAAGAGAUAUGGUGAACUUUUUGCAAAUAUAUAGAUAAUCAACAAGAUUUAGGGCAAUAAGAGUUCAUAACUGUAUUUUAAAAUAUAUGUAGUUAUUUCUUUUUUAUUGAUAAGAAAAUCAUACUUAAUACCCAUGGAUCUAAAUACAGUAAAAAUAUAAAGGCACAAAUGGAUAUGAAACAGAUGCACAUCUUGACGAUUGAAAUGCUUGAUUUAUAUAAAUGUAACCUAAAAUUAAUUUUCAUGCAAUUUUGGUGUAAAAAUUACUCGAUUCUUUUAUCGAAAUUCACUGUUCAAUUCAAAGAUAGAUGAGCGAGGUUUUGAAGCGUAUUAAGAAUCAUAAUUUGGAUAUACCAAAUUCAAGCUUAAAGUGAUAAUAACGAAAUCUAUGUCUAUGACACGCCUUUCUGCUAGCAUCUGUUUACUUUUUGUUUUAAAUUCUGAUAAAUGACGAGUUAAAGUACGUAGUAUAUCAUUUAGAUCAUGAAAUAUCUAUUGUCAUCAUGUAAAAACAAUGACCAUUUAUCUGUAAUUUUAUUUAUUUUUUAGAUAAGUGUCGAAAUCGUGGAAUGAACCAAGUCCAAAUGAUGAAUAAAAAUGUGAAACAG